rnacentral:rRNA from 1 species
AGUUUGAUCAUGGCUCAGAUUGAACGCUGGCGGCAUGCCUUACACAUGCAAGUCGAACGGCAGCACGGACUUCGGUCUGGUGGCGAGUGGCGAACGGGUGAGUAAUGUAUCGGAACGUACCUUUCAGUGGGGGAUAACGUAGCGAAAGUUACGCUAAUACCGCAUAUUCUGUGAGCAGGAAAGCAGGGGAUCGCAAGACCUUGCGCUGAUUGAGCGGCCGAUAUCAGAUUAGCUAGUUGGUGGGGUAAAGGCCUACCAAGGCUACGAUCUGUAGCGGGUCUGAGAGGAUGAUCCGCCACACUGGAACUGAGACACGGUCCAGACUCCUACGGGAGGCAGCAGUGGGGAAUUUUGGACAAUGGGGGCAACCCUGAUCCAGCCAUGCCGCGUGAGUGAAGAAGGCCUUCGGGUUGUAAAGCUCUUUCGGCCGGGAAGAAAUCGCAUAGGCUAAUACCCUGUGUGGAUGACGGUACCGGAAUAAGAAGCACCGGCUAACUACGUG